CCUACGGGUGGCAGCAGUGAGGAAUAUUGGUCAAUGGACGCAAGUCUGAACCAGCCAAGCCGCGUGCAGGAAGAAGGCGCUAAGAGUUGUAAACUUCUUUUGUCGGGGAACAAACGCAGACACGUGUGUCUUUGUGAGUGUACCGGACGAAAAAGGAUCGGCUAACUCCGUGCCAGCAGCCGCGGUAAUACGGAGGAUGCGAGCGUUAUCCGGAUUUAUUGGGUUUAAAGGGUGCGUAGGCGGUCCGGGAAGUUAGAGGUGAAAUGCCGGGGCUCAACUCCGGCCGUGCCUGUGAAACUGUUGGACUAGAGAGGACUAGAGGUAGGCGGAAUGUGCGGUGUAGCGGUGAAAUGCUUAGAGAUCGUGCAGAACACCGAUUGCGAAGGCAGCUUACCGG
rnacentral:rRNA from 1 species